UUCCGAACCUAAAAAUGUACAGGAACUUGCGACUUAUGUGCAAAGCCUGCUGGAGAACAUGCAGCAGCGCUUCCAGACUAUGUCAGACAACAUCAUCAGCCGAAUAGACGAGAUGGGCGACCGGAUUGACGAGCUGGAGAAGAGCGUGGCAGACGUGAUGACUCAAGCCCAGACGGUGGACGACGGAGACAAGUAGUCCCACCCGGCGGCCCCCCAGUGGGUCUACGGCCGAUCUCUGGCGCCCGACGGCGUGCGCGGGGCGCGGACACAUGUCGGUGUUCAAAGCUUUCAGCCUUGGCUGGCCUGAGUUUGUGUUUGGUUGCUGUGCCGGUCGGCGCGCGCGGGAAGGCGAAGCGAGCGUCAGUCGAUCGGCACCGCUGUCGUGAGCGCCGCCCGCUCCUGCGGCGGCCGGCCGCACGCCAGGCCCGUUUGGUGGGCCCCCGCGGGAGUGGUCGAUACGCGAUACUCGAUAGUCGCGGCUCGCUGCUCUGCUAAGGCACAUUGAAGAACGGGAUGGGCUGCACCAUUGAUCACUGCCCGUCGACUCCCAGUCAUCGUUUGAUUGCAUCCAUCCCGCGCCCAGCACCGUUUUGGAAGGUCACGAUGCUUGCAGCUGCCGCGGCAGCAUAGUUGAGUUAGUUGGAGAAGAACAGCUACGACCAGCGCGUGGUUUUCAUGGAUCUGUCGCCACGCAGGUAGUUGGACCAUUUGCUUUAUGUUGCAUUUUAGCUGUUACAAUACACACGUGCGCAUGCUA